rnacentral:rRNA from 1 species
GACAGGGGAUGCAAGCGUUACUCGGAAUUACUGGGCGUAAAGCGUCUGCAGGCUUCUCUCCACGUCUGGUAUUAAAUGGCGGAGCCUAACUCCGUCACGUGCCGGAAACGAGAGAGAUCGAGUCAAUCAGAGGCAUCUGGAAUGUCGUGUGUAGGGGUAAAAUCCGUUGAUCCACGAUGGAACGCCAAAAGCGAAGGCAGGAUGCUGGGGUUGUACUGACGCUCAGAGACGAAAGCGUGGGGAGC